GCCACAUCCUCAAUAUUAGGCAACAGAGUUUCUAAGAGUGGACAGCUCCAAGAAGGUUGUGAAGGAAACUUCAGGCAGUGAGAAACACGGCUUCAUCAGAAUCCCGGUCCUUGCCACUAUCUUCACUCGGUGCAUGCUCACCACCACUUGGAGACCGACAGCUCAAAUCCUCCACCCCGGACUCUUGGUCACUGUUGGCUGACAGAUCUGGAUCUGAACUUUUCAGAUUGUCUUGGGUUAGAAUCAGAGCAGAAUCUUCAUCGCCUUGUGAAGGGCUCCGGGAUGGAAAUGAUUUCAUAUUCCCACUGUAAUCCUGGGGAGUGUUGGCUAUGCUGUUGUCUGAGGUAGAAAACCCUGAGUGCUUGCUGGGCUCACUUUGCUUACUCUUCACCUUAGUGCAAUUUAACUGGACCUUUUGAAUUUUUUCCAGCCUCUAAGAAAGAAAUAACAAUUUCAGGGGAAAAAUCAUAAAUAACUUAUCUUUUUCUAUAUAUGCAUGUCUUUAGCAUUUGUUACCUCCCACGUGGGUAUAAUGUUAAGAACAUGUGACUCAGAGGGAUGUGAGUUCAAACCUGGACUUCACGACCUUGGACAAAAUCUGUGAGGCCUGCUUUAUCUCUAAUGUAAGGAUAAUACCUGCCUUGACAUAGGUUUUCUAUAAUAAUAAACAAUAUAGCACAGUUGAAGCACCCA
rnacentral:lncRNA from 1 species